GAUGAACGCUGGCGGCGUGCCUAAUACAUGCAAGUCGAGCGAACAGACGCGGAGCCUGCUCCUCUAGCGGUAACGGCGGGCGUAUGAGUAACACGUGGAUAACCUCCCUAUGAGACUGGGAUAACUACGGGAGACCAAAGCUAAUAACGACUAAUAUAUUCAACCGCAUGGUGCAGUAGUUAAAGACGGUUUUGCUGUCACUUAUGGAUGGAUCCGCGCCGGAUUAGCUAGUUGGUAAGGUAACGGCUUACCAAGGCAACGAUGCGUAGCCGACCUGAGAGGGGGAUCGGCCACACUGGAACUGAGCCACGGUCCAGACUCCUACGGGAGGCAGCAGUAGGGAAGCUUCCGCAAUGGGCGAAAGCUUGACGGAGCAACGCCGCGUGAGUGAUGAAGGUCUUCGGAUCGUAAAACUCUGUUAUUAGGGAAGAACAAAUGUGUAAGUAACUAUGCACGUCUUGACGGUACCUAAUGAGAAAGCCCCGGCUAACUACGUG
rnacentral:rRNA from 1 species